AUGGAAGGGAUUGAUUUAUUGGUUAGAUCCUGCUGGUGUAGAAAAUAAAGUGCGUCAAAAUGCUCGUAAAAUUAUUUAUGAGGGGCUUGUGAAGUUUAGCAUGGUCCAUCGAAAGGAUCUCAAAAAAAUUAAAAAGAAUCCUAAAGUUGGUUGGAACAAACUGAAAUGUCCUCGUCAACCUCAAGACGCCAAAUACUGUGGAUAUUAUGUAUGCCGUUAUAUGCUUGAGACUAUUGAAAGUAGGCAACAAUUGAUUUUGGAGGAGGUAAGUAUUCGUCAAAAAUUUAUAUCAAACAUUAUGAUAUUGGUAUUGAAACACAAUGACAUUUGGAUAUAAUAUUGAUGGAUUGGAUUUUCGGCAUCAAUGUUUACCUUCUUUUUCU